rnacentral:rRNA from 1 species
GUCCACGCCGUAAACUAUGAGAACUAGAUUUGGGGGAGUUUGACCCCUUCCGAAUCGAAGCGAACGCAUUAAGUUCUCCGCCUGGGAAGUACGGUCGCAAGACUAAAACUCAAAGGAAUUGACGGGGGCCCGCACAAGCGGUGGAUUAUGUGGUUUAAUUCGAAGCAACGCGAAGAACCUUACCUAGGUUUUAAAUCCUGAGAAUCCUCCGGAAAUGGAGGAGUGCCCUUCGGGGAAUUCAGUGACAGGUGCUGCAUGGCUGUCGU